rnacentral:lncRNA from 1 species
GGUUUAUAUACGCGAUAUGUAUCCACUUAUGACUUAACCCACCCAAAACACUAGGGGUAUUUAAUCAUCUUAUUCUCUUGUUCCUUCUCAUUUGCACAAACCCUAGCCCCCUUCUAGAGAGAGAAAGAAAACUCAUAGAGAAAGAAACAAAUGACCAGCUUAUCUCCGAUGGGAAUGCAACCUCCGGUGAGCCUCCAUUAGCCAUCGACCUAGGGGUCGCUCAACCUAAGCUACUUAACGGGGCAAUGGUGGGUAGAUUUGACUAGCGGCUCAGCCGUUGGUUCUACCCUGAGUCUCCACAAGAGGCUUAUUGUGGCAGUUCACAGCGAAACAGCCCUCACACGGGCAGAUCUAACUAUUGAAGUGGUCUUUAUGACGGUGUGCAUCGAUAUUCCUUCCGCUGAAAAGUGUAGGUCAGGAUCGUGAGGAUGGACCUAGACAACAAAGUUGAAGCAUUCAGUAAAAAAGGGCAAAACAACUGGAUAAAAAUUGCACUUUGAAGAAAGAUGUGAGCAUAUGGACUUGAAGAAAACAACUGCAUAUGAAUUUGUAGCACUUGAAAAUUUUCUUAGUUUAUGUGUAUAUAUGUUUUUUUGCGACUUUAGUUGAUAGGUUUGGAUUAUAAGUUUAUGUCUUUAAUUAGUAUUUGAAUUGAAACUUAUGUAUGGAUUUUGAAUUACUAUUGUUAAUAUCAUUUGGUUAUUAGAUUUUCUUAUGUUUGCUA